rnacentral:rRNA from 1 species
AUGCGUGCUAAAAAAGAUUGCUUCAUAAAAGCGUGUUCUUCUAGUUUUCGUGAUAAUAAAGAUGAAGAUCUAAAAGUUAUUGAUGUAUCUCCUAUUAAAUCUUUGUUUUGCAAUAUGAAUCUUGAUAAUGAUGGGGCUGAAGAUGAGCCAGCUUUACCUAGAAGGCGUUCCAAAAAUUCGGAGUCUUUAGAUCUUGAUGCUAAAAUUUUUAAAAGUGGGAUUGAAGAGGUCAAAACUUUAAAUAGUAAUGAACCCACUAUUUUGGAUUUCAAGGAAUUUAAUUAUGAUAAUUGCUCUUUGAUAGAUUGUAUUUCCUUGUUGCAAUCCGUGCUAAAUUCUCCUCAUGCUUAUAGCCAAAAUAAAGCUUUUACUAAACGUAUCGUUGAUGCUUUGAUGCAAUCUUAUGAAGAAAAACUUGAGUUGGAAGUUUCUAUCCCUAGAAAACUUUAUGAUGAGUGGGAACCUACAAUAAAAAUUAAAAUUAGAGAUCACGAGAGCUAUGCUUUGUGUGAUUUGGGUGCUAGUGUUUCCAUGAUUCCAAAAACUUUGUGUGAUUUGCUAGGUUUCCAUGAUUUUGAUGAUUGUUCUUUAAACUUGCACCUUGUGGAUUCCACUAUUAAGAAACCUAUGGGAAGAAUUAAUGAUGUUCUUAUUGUUGCAAAUAGGAACUAUGUGCCCAUAGAUUUCAUUGUUCUUGAUAUAGAUUGCAAUCCUUCAUGUCCUAUUAUUGUUGGUAGACCUUUCCUUAGAACGAUUGGUGCAAUUAUUGAUAUGAAGGAAGGGAAUAUUAGAUUCCAAUUUCCGUUAAGGAAAGGCAUGGAACACUUCCCUAGAAAGAAAAUUAAAUUACCAUAUGAAUAUAUUAUGAGAGACACUUAUGGAUUACCUACCAAAGGUGGCAAUACCUAG